rnacentral:rRNA from 1 species
CCAGACUCCUACGGGAGGCAGCAGUGGGGAAUAUUGCACAAUGGGGGAAACCCUGAUGCAGCGACGCCGCGUGAGUGAAGAAGUAAUUCGUUACGUAAAGCUCUAUCAGCAGGGAAGAAACACUGACCUUACGGUCAGCAGACGGUACCUGAGUAAGAAGCCCCGGCUAACUACGUGCCAGCAGCCGCGGUAAUACGUAGGGGGCAAGCGUUAUCCGGAAUUAUUGGGCGUAAAGAGUACGUAGGUGGCAACCUAAGCGCAGGGUUUAAGGCAAUGGCUCAACCAUUGUUCGCCCUGCGAACUGGGAUGCUUGAGUGCAGGAGAGGAAAGCGGAAUUCCUAGUGUAGCGGUGAAAUGCGUAGAUAUUAGGAGGAACACCAGUGGCGAAGGCGGCUUUCUGGACUGUAACUGACGCUGAGGCACGAAGGCCAGGGGAGCGAAAGGGAUUAGAUACCCGGGUA